AUGGAGGCUUUCUACUCUCCACCUCUUAUGCUUUGGUUCAAGGGGAAUUCAGAUGGUGCUUCUGUUAGCACGCCUUCAAGGGUGGGUUGUGGGGAGAUCUUUAUGGAUCAUCAGUCCAAGCAUAUUGGCAAUUUUGCUUGUUUUCUUAAAAUUGAAAAUGCUUUUUUUUCUGAGCCCAUGAGGGCUAUUUUUGUUAUGGAGUAUACUCUCUCAAGUAAUUGGUCUAAUUUUUUGUUAAAGUCUGAUUUCAAGUUGAUGGUUUUGGCUUUCUCUAAGCAUUCCAUGGUCCUCUGA